GACGGUUUGGCCGAGUGGUCUAAGGACGCCAGAUUUAGGCUCUGGUCCGAAAGGGUGUGGGUUCAAAUCCCACAGCCGUCA
rfam:Ipomoea nil DNA, scaffold: scaffold1636, cultivar: Tokyo-kokei standard.